rnacentral:tRNA from 1 species
GUUUGUGGCCCAGUGGUAGAGCACUCGCCUACCAUGUGCAAGGCUCUGGGUUCAAUCCUCAGCACAACG